UUUGCUCCAAUGGCCUCUGCAAGUUUGAGAUCCUGGAAUGAUAUGCUGGGAGGGACUGAGAGAUCUUUCUGCAGCGUGUCAGAACUAGCUCCCAGGAUCUGUUUGUGAAAGAUAAGUGUUGUUACUUCCUUGAAUUACUUCUGUUCUUGCUAGGAAUAAACACAGUACUGCCAACUAUGUACAUGCUGUGUCAUCAAUAAGAAGAAAAUGGUCAUGUGUGGUUAGAAAAAGUGUGCUUCUGUUCGUUAUAUCCUUAAAGGCAAUGUAAAACAGUAAAAUCUCAGUUUCCUCCUGGUUGUUUUUUUUUUCUGUCUCAAAUAUUUGAUCCUCUCUGCAGCAGUGCUAAUUUUCAGUUUGUCUCUCUCCCCCUGAUCUCAAAGUCCAAUUUUAGUGCUUGUGUACUAUGUGGAACAGCCCCCAGUGACUUCAGAUGUGACAGACAGAGGAAAUUUUCUCUCUAAUUAUAUUGCAUCUGAUUCAUUAAGGUCUGUGCCUCGCUGCCAAAAAGGCGAUUCCUCCAUGUGGACUCAGUAUUUUUUGUAUUGGAGUCAUUUCCAUAGUUAUGAAGGAACUGUAUCAAGUCUGUCAGGUUCUUCUCAUCAAGACAUCAUCUCAUUGUCUAACUGGCUACUGGGCUUUGUCCUUCUUCAUAUGUGAGAAGGAUUUACUCUCCAUCCCAUUCCCUGUCCACCUCGUAGCUGUUAAAGGGAGCUGCUGGACUUUGAAGUUUACAUGGCCUGGCUGGCGUUCCAGUGUAACCAAAACCAAUUGUAACAGGUCAGCUUGGAUGAUUUGCUGGUGCUCUGAUUCACUGUGCAAAAUACUGUCCUCUUUUGGCUGAGCUUUCUCACAUUCUUUGUAGACACUGUGGGUUUGGUCUCUGUCUCAUUGUCUUUUCCCAUGAAGACAAAUAAGAGGAAAAUCAUGAGGGGAUCAGUAAAUUUUGCCGUAGACACAAAUAGGGAAACAGGGUUAUAAAACAGUCCUUCCAGCAGCAAAAUCUAUCCUAUACGCCGCAUGAUGAUUUGGAGGGAUGGGCUGUGAGCUACAUUACUGAGAAUGUGUCUAUUGUUGGCCAUAUGUGACGUAUAUGUGGGUAAGAAUGACUAGCCAGUGCAGAUAAUAUUUUACACUCAGAAGUGCGGUGGUUAUUUUAGAGUAAUGCUGCCUCCGAUUAAAAUCACUCUGCUACUCUUGUGUCUGAGCACAGUGAAUUGAAGACUCUUCUCAGUCCAGAGCAGCCCUUGUAUCUCAGAGAAAUGGAGGGUUCGCAUUCUUGUUUAUGGCCUUGCUGCUUCCUAAACUUUAUGGGAGAUCUAGGGAUAAAGGAGUAAUUUGCAUUGAGCAUCACCAAAAUUCAGUAAUGUGCAGAGAUAUGAUUACAUGAAGGCACAGUGCAAAGAAGACAGAGCCAGAUUCUUCACUGUGGUCAAGACAAGAGGCAUUGGGCAGAAAUUGGAACACAGGAUGUUCCAUCUGAACAACAGGGAGCAUUUUACUGUGAGGCUGUUGUACAAAUGGCACAGGAUGCUCAGAGACAUUGUGGUGUCUCUCUCCUUGGAGAUGUUCAGAAUCCACUUGGACAUGGCUCUGAACACUCUGCUCUAGGUGUCUUCCAAUGUCUUCCAAGAGGUCCCUUCCAAUCUUAGCCAUAACCACCAUUUUUUUUUCCCUUAGAAAUUCUACAGCUGACCCUAGUUGGAGAAGAAAAAAAUUCAAGUGUAUCUUUCCAUUUUCUGAAGGCAAAUACUCACAGCUGCUCACAUUGCAAAUUGAUUUCCAACAAAGAAUGAAGUUUCGAAUGACUGCUACCUUUGCUUUGUAAUUUAGUGCACAUAUUCUAUAGCAGACAUAUAUAUUUUUUUAUCCCUUUCAUUAGAUUUCAAAACUGAAAUAGAGAAAAAAAUCCAGUCUGGAAAUAAAUAAAUAUUGAUGCCAAGUACUGAAGCAAAGAAUAUUUGGAUACUGUAGUUCAGUUUUCUGCAUAACUCAUUUAAAGGGUUUCACCCGGAAACUCCAUGAAUGAACUGAAAUAGAUGCAAUUUCUCAGCCAUCUUGGCACAUCAUACUUGUAGUUAAUGCAAGAACAUUCAGUCACAUUAUUGAAUGUCUGUUUAAUACAUCAGCAGUUUUACCAUAUAAAGGUUGUCUUAUGAAAUAUAAACAUCUCUUAAUUAAAAUCUGAGACAACGAAACAGAAAUACAUACAUUGUCUCCUGAAAUAGCAUUAUGGCUGUUACAUUGUCAUGUGAGUGCUCUUUACUGCCAGUAUUUUCCUGGUACUGAGCUCAGAUCUGUAGAAUAAUAAGAGGUGAAAUUUGUUUAGACAACAGAUGCAUUCUGUGUUCAGCUGCAGUGAAGUGGUUAAUAGCUAAUGUUGAAUAACACUUAAUAUCAGAUGAGAGCUUGAUGCUGAAUUCAUGAACACAUUUAUUUUUGUAAACUCAAUGAAUUUUUUCUUAGGCAAGAGUAUGCAGAAUUUUCUUGGAUAUGUUAGGAGGUACUUAUAAAAAGCAAAAAAUCAUGAGCAAGAUGCCAGUUGUAUAUAAAUGCCUUUAUAAUAAAACAACAAUGUCCAAUAAUGCCAAAGGGAAACAGUCUGGCACUGGACUGAAAAUUACCUAGUGGUUACCAGAAAUAGUGGAACAUUUUAGAGGACCCGUAUUUGCAAGACUAUUGAGAAAAUGCUGGUUAGAACUCAGAUAUGGUUAUAUUUUGGUGGCUGUAAAGUUGAGAUGACAUCAUUAUUGUGAUCAUAACAAAAAGUAGAAUAUAAUAAUACAGUCUAGGGUCACUACAAACUGUAUCUAUAUAACCUAACAAAGCAAAACAUUUUCUGCUGACCUUAGAGAGAUGUUUUUUUUCAAGCUGUGUUCACAUGCUUCCUUUCUAAAUUUGUUUGAUGUGAUUAUUCUCAGGUCGAGGUGUUGUUGAAAGUACAAAAAUAAGUAACUGGACUGUGGACAUAGAUUACAUGUUCAGAUGAAGAUCAGUAUUGUUGUGUUCAUUAUGAAGCCUCCAGCUCAGGGGACAGGUAAAUCAGACACGUUUGUUACCAGGCAGGCUGAGCUAAUGAGCAGCUUUCCAGGCAACAAUCACAAAACCAGCUGUGAUACUACUCAAAGACUGAUAAUGUGUUAUCGGGGAACAUGCUCGUAUUGUUCUGAGCCCAUGAUCUCAUGGACAGCUUCCAUGGUCCUUCAGCAGAUUGAAGGAGAUCCAAUUUACUCCUGGAGACUUAGGUCUGGACAUGAGUUCUCAGACCGCUUAACGCCAAUCUCCAGGCCCAGUUAAAUUACAGACAAUGCCAUGAACCCUGCAACGCAAGAUGGAGCACUGAAUGAACAAUGAGGAGGCUGAAGGAAUUUUGCCCUUCUAAGUGAUUCACAUUUGCUGCUCGCUCAUUUCUGCGGCCUUCCCUAGAAUCCUCUUAGCCAAGAGCAGGCCGCUCCCCUGACUGCAUUUCCAAGGGUUGAUGGCUCUGAGACCCUGCUUCCACGUGGUCAGAGGAAGGCACUCUGGGGUGGGCAGUGGCUCAGGGAUGUGCUGGGGGAUGCAAAGGAGAGCUGCUUCUGUGGCUGGUUCUGUGACCGCACAUGCAAAUGUAUCCAGAAGGCAGGGGGCUGUUCGCGUGAUGGCCACGGAGCUUUUCAGUUGAGGGGAAGAGGGCUGGUAUUGUCUGAAGUCUGUGAUCCAAAGUACUUAAUCAUCAUUGCUGGAGUUGGAUGUAGGAAUAUUGUAACAUGUAUUCCCAACAGAGGGUUAUUCACCAGCAGCUGAGAGCAACGUGUGGCAUCUGCAAUGUAAAAGGAUUUCACAUGCAGGUCAGGGAGGAUCAGUGAGAGGAUGUACUACACAACAUGAUGCUGUCUGUGGGAUUUAACUAAGUUGACGUGACUUGUAAAGCGAGCAGGAGCUUGUUCAAGGAAUUGAAAGAAGCAGGCAAAGUUUAUGUUAAAUUUCUAUAUCAAGAUAUGAUUCAACACUUCCCAAAAAUUCCUUCAAAACAAACAAAUAGGUUAUUCACUCAAAAAGUAUAUUUCCUAUCUCAUUCCUUUCACUAUACAGAAAUUCUUGCUACCAUUUUCUUAGUCAGCAACCUAAGCAGAGGGAAAAUACCUUUUUUUCUUUCUAAACUUUAGACUACUUUAAGCAUACAAAAGUGGGAUAAUUUGUUCACAAAUUUUCAGCUCUUUUCCACUUGUUUUUUUAAAAAACAGGAGUGAAAUCUUCUAAAGGAACGGCUGAAAUCCAAACAUUUCUACUGUAUUACUGUUAGCAGAAUUAUGUGAGAAAAUAAUUAUAUUCAGACCCUGGUAUCUAAGUGCAGUUUUAAGAACGUGUUAUACUGCCUUACUGCUGAAAAUAAAUAAUUU